ensembl:lncRNA
GCAGCACUGUUUGGUCCCUGUAUUUAACUGAUAACACAGCGAGCGAUGACGAGUGAUGGCUAAGGCCUGCUUAGAGACGUAGAAGCUACGCGGGUGCAUGAGGCUCACCCACAGUGCUUUGCAGCUCUGGCUGCAUGUCUCUACAACGCUGCAUGAGCGGGAUGGUGUUUGACUCUUCAAGAAACAAGGCCUCCAAUUCAGGAGGAACAAAGCAGUCUCCACUCGACACUGGACUCCAUGACUCGUGUGUGUGUUCCUGUGUGCUUUCACUGCUCUCUCAGUGUGUUUGGGAUCAUCGGCGUGCUGAAAAAUGAAGCUGCUGCCAGUCAGAUGUUUCCAGAUGUUCCUGCGUGGUGGAUCAGACUCUAUGGCUGCAGACGCUCACUGCUGGACCUCCUCCUGACCUCCUCGUACACACUGACCAUGAUGUGGAUCCAUCUCUCCAUCACACCUGUUCCUCUGACCUUCAGUCCAGUUCUGGUGUCAUUUUCAGCCUCAGUCUGUCCUCCUGUUUCCCUUCAUUAAGAAUGUCUUCAUGACAGCAUUUCUGAUGAGGUUUCAGUGAACUGUGGACCGUCGCUCAGGUGCUGUGUCAGGUCUGUGAUGGAUUUGACCAGUAAGUGUUUAAAGUUACUGGUUUUCAGGGGUGUCAAACUCAAAUACAAAGUGGGCCAAAAUUGAAAACUGGAACAAAAUCGUGGGCUAACAUUGAUAUUUAUUGAAAAAAAACCUUCCUCCAGAUAUAUGAAUGAAUCUUUUCUUAUGGACUGAAUAUGGAACAAGCAAAGCUUAAUACUAAACAACAUAUAUAUUAGCUGUAUAAUACCAGUAGUCCAGCUCUAAUAGUAAUUUGGUAUGGCUUCGCGGGCCAGAGUUUGACACCUAUGUUUUAGAGCAUGUGCAGCGCCAUCUUGUGCCAGUGCAUUGUGUGACGUCACCCUCUGCCUAGUUUGGAUGUUGAACUGGACAGAGAGUCAGAGAGAGGCGGCCUCAUGGAGGAAGCUCAUGUUGAGCCUGACGAAGAGUUUUGGGAGAGUGGCGCUGAGAGCGAUGAUGCAGAUGUAGAAGUAACUGUCUCUCAGGAUCAAAACAGCAUCGCGUCCAUUCAUGAGCUGGGGAAGCUGUUUCAUGAGCGCUGCGAGGAAGGUUGUGGCAAAUGUGUAGUCCAGCCAUCGACCACUGAGACAGCUGAAGAAGGACUUGGCCGGGUCCAAAUACAUCGAUGGCCAUGACCUCACCUGGAACUCUCUGGUUCGGUCGCCAUGGAGUGCAACACCUCCAUCCACGCACGUCUCACCACUGCUACGAGUGCACUCCAUUUUUGCAUUUUUGGUACACCGCUGGUCUGGAACAUCUGUUUACAAGAGUGGGGGAG